rnacentral:rRNA from 1 species
GACGAACCGUGCAAACGUUGUUCGGAAUCACUGGGCUUAAAGGGUGCGUAGGCGGGCGGUCAAGUCAGGGGUGAAAUCCUCCAGCUCAACUGGAGAACAGCUUUUGAUACUGGCCGUCUCGAGGGGGGUAGGGGCAUGUGGAACUUCCGGUGGAGCGGUGAAAUGCGUAGAUAUCGGAAGGAACGCCGGUGGCGAAAGCGACGUGCUGGACCCCUUCUGACGCUGAGGCACGAAAGCCAGGGGAGCAAACGGG